rnacentral:lncRNA from 1 species
UUGUCCUUGCAUUUAACUUGUUGUUUGUAUCAAUUUUGUAUCCACACAUACCAGUCCCUUCAUCGACCAGAUGUUGAUGUUUCAGCAGGUUUGCAGGCCAGCAUAGUGUAUAUUUCCUUUGAGACAUCGAGCUCUAAUCCUUGAUUUCUGAUUCCACGAGAAUUGUAUUUGGUUUCUCUUUUGGGUGAUCAUCUAAUGCUAAGAUGAUCUCAUCCAGACACACAAGAGUUUUGGAAUCUUUCUACUGUUAACAUACUUAUAGGACAUGGUGCACUUUACCUGGUAUACUUAUGUAUUACUGCGAACUCUGAUUUACGAUUUUUUAGUCUCUAUUCCCUAGGAAGACACUUCCUCGGUGCGAUUCUUAUCCAAUUUUGUUAUCUCCUUGAAUGCAUCCUUUCUCCGCUCAGGAACAGCUAGUUCCUAUUUUACAGUCUUGGGGAUUUCUAUGUUUGACAAGUCAGAAAUAAGUGCUAAAAAACAUGGAGGACAAUCUAUGGAUUUUGCGGUUGAGAUGGUAAACUUUUAAUGUGAAAGGAUUCGGAAUGUAUAUUUGUCAUGAGUAGGGACAAAUUUGUAUGAUUCUCCCCUUGAAGAUAAAAUUUGAGAGAAAUGAGACUGAUUUUAAAAAAAUUGCUUCCAUACUUGCACAGAAACUUUUUGUAAUAGGUUCAAAGGACUUGUAUUCUUCUUAAACUGGCGAGAAGCUCAGGAAAGUAUAUUUUUUUUAUCAAUAUGAAAAAUAAUUCUGCGCUGGACGCUUUAGGAGGCAGAUCACUGGAGAUCCGAGUGUGUGGAUUGGUUUAUCAAAUAAUAUUUUUUAAGGUUUUCAAAAUUGAUGUGUUCGGGUUGGCAUUCUAUUGAUUAAAUACAAUGCAAUUUGGACAGCUUCUCCCGGAAUAUGUUUAGGAACUUCGGUAGUAAAUUUAAUGGCCUGGGCAACUUCUUAGAGUGUCAAACUUUUCAUUCUGAAACUCAUUUUUUGGGAGACACUGAGACGAGAUGUUUGAUUUAUAAUACCCUUUUUCAUUUGAAACUUUCUAGGGUUGGAUAUGUAGUCUUAAGUUCCAUUAUAAGUUCUAAAGGACUCGCAUUUUUUUUGGAAAUUGGGUUUAAAUAUGCUAUAGGAAUUUCGAAAGACACCAGUGGCACAAGAUUUUUCUUUCAUCGUGUUCAACACUCUUUAGUGUGAUGAUUGACGAAAAUUAUGAACCACCUGGUCAAGUGAUUUUUUGACUGUUGAUUGCUCUCAUUUGUUUCUAUGGAUUGAGUAAAAUUGUAGCCUUCAGUGUCUGGGAUAGUUUCCAUUUCCAUGCUUUGAUAAAGGUCUAAUGUUUUCAUAAGGCUCUGCAGAUUUUUGUAGUUAUCUGUGAUGCUCGACAUCCCUUGCUUAGUCUUUUGCACUUGAUUCUUGCUCUGAAAAUUCGGUGAGCAAAAUUUUGAAUUAGGUUUUAUUUACUGCUACACAGAAAUAUGUGGCUGUAGAAAGAAGGAAACCAGUCUUGCUGAUUUUUGACUGCAUUGAAUGGAGUUCGAGUUUUGAGAACAUGCUCAGAGGUUUUGGAGAUGGCUGGAAACGAGGGGAAUAGAGAAAAAACUGUGGUAAUGUGCAAGUGCUUGGGAGAGAAACGAAAAAAAUUGAUGGGAAAGAGAGUCACCAAACAUAAAUUUGAUAAACGUGAAGAGAAAAGGAUUGAGAUGUGAAAUAAAAAUUGGCUGAGGGGAAAAAUCGAAACCGAAGGUCUUGUGAGCAAGCCCAUUUUCGUGACUCAUGGACAAAUCUUUAGGUGUCAAAGUAUUUCAGUUUAUUUUUGUUAACAUUUUUUGUCAAUAUUGAAAUAUUGUUCACUUUUUGUUAUUUUCUGGUGUGUUCAUUUAUAUUUUCUUACUUUGUAGGUGUUUGAACAUCUUCAUGAUUUGGAUCUUCGAUAUCACUUAAGGUAUUAUCUAUCAUCAACGGACAGGAUACCACAUAAUUCUUAUAUUUCUAUAUUUCUUUUUAAUUGACAAUUUUGGAAAUGCUUUUGAAAUUUGAAUGUUUUUUGGAGUCACGUUGCCAUUAUUUUGUUGGACACGUAGCCUCUCUCUUUGCAACUUGAUUGCAUGAUUCAAUAAUUUUUAUUUUCUAUUAACCCAAGACGAUGUUCCCUGUCAUAUUAUUGUUUCGUUGACAUCGAGUUAUGAGGAGCUCAGUUUGCCCAGAUACCAAGUUAAGAUUAGGUCGGAUGAGGAUUUGUAAUAAGGUUGACAUGGGGUUUUGGAAUGGAGGAGGUCAUGGAGGUGGAAUCUAAUUAUUGUCCAAAUUUCGUCACUUUUAUGGGUAUAUUUCAUGUGGGGUAUUUUUGUCUUUUGCCAUAGUUACAGUCUUCCUUGAUCCUCGUGUCAUAUAGGAACUUUUAGGGCAGUUAUCAUCUACAUUGUAGCUUUCUUAAGUAGAUAGUAGAAUCCUGUGGUGGCAUGUAGAAUAGCUCUCAUGUCGAGAUAAAUUUUUUUGCAUGCUUUUUUCCCCAUCUUGUCGAUUCUCAAUGCUCAUAACUUAUUGGAACUUGGGUAUAUUGCUGGUAUGCAUGUGAUAUAUUCUAUUCCAUAUCAAUGUGGGUGAUUUGGAUUCAUCUGCAGGGGAGAUAUUCUAAAAUAUGUCUGUAUUAAAACUUCUUUUUUAGGUAUUUUUGUUAAUUUUAUCCUUUGAGGAUUAAGAUUAAUGUACCUUUUUAAUUGUCGAACCCUGUGAAGAAACUCGUUAGCAGGAUGUCUGUUGAAAAUUAAAUUGCAUUUAAUAUGCAAUGUUUUGCCUAACCAGCAGAGUUCACUUGUCACUCAUCCAUUAAGGUCUAUUUCUUGAUGGUUAUUUGUGUUUGCAGUUUGUGAGAUGGAGGUUCUACUCUAGGACCCUGGUUAUUAAAAUGGAAACACUAAAUUUCUAGCACUUGAUGUAAAUGUUUCACUGGCAAGUCAGCAGUGCAUCAGCCAGGGUUAAUUGCAAUUGCAUCAAUAUCUUUGAAUAACUUGCUCUAUUCGAUUUAUUGUUCUCUCUUUCCUUAUGGUGAUUGUGAAUAUGAACAAAAUUUAUGUACCCUAAAGUUCUAAGAACAAGAUAGUUCUUAACUUGGAUAGUUGGAUAAUGAUAGGAACCAGCAGGAAUUACGAAUAUUUCGUAUUAGAUGAAGAAUACUCUCUAGAACAGAAAUAUCAAGAUAAAACAAAGUAAAAGAACUCAGAACAGAUAGAGGGUCGCAUACAACCCUAGAACCAGAAUAGAUGGAAGGUCGCGUACAACCCUCCAGCCCUUUCUCGUUGAUGCACGAGAUUCUAACUCCGAUUUCUCCCCCCUCUCCUUCCUGAUCCGCCCUUCUUUAUAUAUUCUCCUUUCCCUCUCUUAUUUAGGCAGUUAGUCUCCUGUCAUAACUGUUCUUACCAUAACCGCUCUUUGCCAUAACUGCUCCUUGUUAUAAUGCUCUUUGCUUUGUGCCUUCUCUCAAUAAUAGUAACUGUUAUUGACUUAUUGGGUUUUGGGCCUUCUUCCUUCUAACAUAUGUGCGUGAAGCCUUAUCAGAUAAUUUGAGAAUAAUGUUUCCAUCGUACUUCUAAAUCUUAAGACUUGAGGUAGACGAUUUAUGAGAUUUGUAGCAGCCAAAACUACCUCUCCUGAAAGGGUUUUUGACACAUUGUUCUGACAAAAGAGGGGUUUGGUUGCCUUUUGGAGAUGUCCAUUUUCCUUUUUAGUACUAUAUUAUGUUGUGAUGUAUUGACGCACAAUUAUUCAUAAAUUAUCCCUUCCUUCUGAAAUUAUGAGGUUAGUGUUUGAUUGAAAUAAUUCUUAACAUUAUCUGACUUAAAUAUUUUAAUAUUGGCACCAAAUUGAUUUUUAAGUAAGGUAUAAAAUUUGGACACCACUAACCUCUGAUUUGUGUUUUGAGUAAAAAUAUAUAAAUAAAUUGCAUAAAAACUAUUUGUCACCCAAGACAUUUGGAGUUGUUAAAGGACCUCAAAUAUCACUAUGAAUGCAAACAAUGGAGCUGAACUUCUUUUUUGCUACUAGUUGAAAAUGACAUAUGUUUGUGUUUAAUAAAUUCACAAACAUCACAAUUAAAAUUUUCUAAAUUCAAACUUUCGAAUAAGAAAAGAACUAAAGUUUUGAUUUGAUCUAAAAGAUGAAUAUCCUAGCCGUCAAUUAUGAAAUUAUUUCUUUUGUAAUUAGAUGUAGAAGAUGACUGAGGUUCCAGUGGUGGACCGUCGUUAGCAAUGUAAGAUUUGCCUAAUGCUUUAAGGUAGUAGAAUCUAUCAUGUUCUCUAGCAAGUCUGAUCUUCCUGUUCGAUUACUUGUCAUAUGACACACAGAUUAUGAUAAAAGACUACUUUGCAGUUUAAUUAAUCAAAAAGUUUUUUACAGACACGAUUUAUGCAUAGAAGGACAUGAAGGACUUUUUUUAAGGUCUCAAGGUUUUUAAGCCUAUUAUCACUUACACCUGCACCAGUAAUCAAUGAUCCUUCUACCGUGACUACCUUCCUAGUACUUGGACAUGGGGUAUAUGUGGAAAAACUUUGUAAGGAGUUGGUCAUAUGAUCGGUGACACCCAAAUCAAGAUUCAAGAGGUUGAUAGAGGGUUAAUAGAGGCAUUAAUCCAGUGAAAGAUGGAAACUCACCUGAACGAGUGAAGGAGCACGAGGUGACAACAUAUUUCAUUUUCUUGCUCUUAAUUUUCAAUACUGGUUCUCAAUAUCUCACUCAGUUCCUAUGGAAUAGGUCUGAUGAAUCGUGUCCCAGAUAUCCUUGACUGUAGCCAAGAAAAAACAUGUAUGACUGAUUUCCAAAAUCAUAGUACUCUAACCACGUCAUAAUUAUUGAAUCUUUUUCUUUUCAAUCAUAGAAUUGAGGAUCUGAACUAAGAUUUUUGCUAAGGAGAUGGCUAAUCUUCCCUCUCCCAGCCAGCACUGCCUGAAUAAAGUGUGACUACUUGAGUAAAUUUAAUUUAGAGUGCCCGGAUUCUGGAUACUGUGAUGUAGAGGCUACCUCUUUGAUUUCAGAUAUCUAGCUCUCUCACAUCAGACUAUUCUCUUCACCAGACAGCUUUAGUUGUUGUCUUGCCUCCAAUCCACAGGAGAGGAAAAAUGGAAGAAAAAUAGUAGCUUGUGGAACCAGAUAUGGAAGACGAACCAGCUGUUCGUGACACUAGAGAACCAUACAAACCAGUUGUUUGCGACACCAGAGAACACACAAACCAGCUUUUUAUGAUACCAGAGAACGAGAUGUGGCAGCUUGGACGAAUGAGCUCAGAAUAAAUGAGAGAUUAGAAGUCGCAAGCAAACCUUGAGCUCUGAUACCAUGCCAGAGGAGAAAACCUUUGGCUGCUGCCAGUCAAGACAAGGGUGGACAAGAGAAAAUUGAAAAUCACUAUGAAGUGUAAAUCGGGUCUGAUAUUUAUACCGUACCCACAGAUGCGGACCAGAUCGGACAGGGCCGGUUCAACAGUGAACUGGACCGAGACAAACCGGUCUUAGGAUAAAAAAUAUAAUAAACAAAGAGUUAAAAAUAUAGUAAACAUUAAUGCCUGAUACUCCAACAACUAUCAUUAUUAUCUUUGACACUGUUAGAACGAUAUCAUUAUCAACACCUAUUAUUUAGCUCUUUGUUACAUGAUGUUCACAUGUUCAGUCUUAAAUGUCACUCCCUGGGUAGUGAGUAGCAUGGCAUAAAAAGUGAAAGAUCUUCUUCGUAGAUUUUUUCUUGAGAAAGUACAUGGCUUUUUUUUCGAUGCUAUGGUGUGCUUAUCAAUGUUCUUUUGUCAUAAUUGCUCUCCACAGUCGUCAAACUGGUGCAUUGAAUCGCAUAAUUGAUCGAGGAAGCCGUGGGAUAAGUUUUAUUCUUUCAGCUCUUGUUUUCACUACGUUACCCACUCUUUUAGAGGUAUGAUUCUAUAUUUUUUUAUGUACAUCUUUUAUCCUAGUUCUCUACAAAGAUGAUUGUAUCAACUUUCUUGCCAAAGAUAAUAAAUAUAGUUUACUCCUAUGCGGGUGGAGAAACUAUGAAAACAAUAGAAGUGCUCGAGCUCUUUCUAUGAUAGCAAUAUAUUGCUUGGUGCUACAUGCCCGAAAUAAUUUUGUAUUUUUACUAUGUAACUUGACUUUUAAUACAAGUGCUGAAGAAUCCUUCGAGGUAACCUGAAACACUUCCAUCCCUUGAUGAAACCUAGUAAAUCGAAGCACUCCAGUUUCCUUUAGGUUGCAAAAGGGGCUUUAGAUUACACUGAGGAUUGUCUUUUGUUAUGUCAUUCUUAGCUGUUGAGCGAGUCAUGAAUGUCCGAUUAACUGGGUUAAUUUAUCUUGCCUGUUAUCCUUCGCUUCUUGGUGCCUAAAGAUCCUCUUGCAUGUGGUAACCUUUUAAUAGAAUGGGGUUUCAUGAUUUGGAUUUCGUUUGCCUUCUAUCAUUUCUUAUCUCUCACCCUGGGAUGUUGCUGUUAUAUAAUUAACCUUUCUUAUACUUAACAAUAGUAAAAUCGUGCAUGAUACAUGCUGUGAUGCCCACUAAAUACCCUAGCACAUUCUCCAAAACGUUCAUCAUCGAGACUUUGUCUAUGCUAGUAGAGAGGACUUUCCCUCUAGGAUUGGGAACAUUUUCUGUACGGGUUAACACUGUGUUUCUAGUGAUAUUAUUCUGAAGAAUGGGAGAAUGCUUUCCAUGGAGAGUUCUUUACAAUUUGUUGUGCAUCCAAAAUAUAAAAAAAAUUAAAAAUAUUCUUACUCGCAGCAAGGAAUCAUUGUGUGAUUUUGAAUAAUCAUUAUGUGCACAGGCUAAAGUUUAUGUAAUUGGAAGACAAGCGAAGAACGCAUUUAUGGACACUAUUUUCUUGUAGGUUCACUCUAAUGAUAAAAAUAACAUUUGAAACAUUUGUGCUGCUGAAUAAUUUCCUAAUUUUUUUUUUCUUUCAAAUGUACUUCUAACUGUAUAUUAGCUUCACUCGAAGGCCUCAUGGGUAAAAAUUUAUUAUACUUUUAUUUAUUCCUUAACAUAGGAGUGCACAUGAUUUGUUUCUUGCAUUCCUCUUAUUGAUUGUCUAAGCAUACCUUUUUCCAGAUUUUCGAUGUUUUGUUUUUCAGAUAGCUAUGGUCUCAGGGAUCCUGGCGUAUAAUUUUGGAGCUUCUUUCGCAUUCAUUACAUCCUUGUCUGUUGCAGCAUAUAUUACUUUUACUCUGAUUGUGACGCAGGUAUGAUUUUGGGCUAUUAUUGUUACGUUGAUGAGAUAUUAUUUUCUUUCUUAACUAAUCACUUCUCGUCUGGGCCAGUAUUUUUCAUGUCUUAUUUUCAUUCGGUUUAUGUCGUCUUGAAAGCCAAAACAGCGUCCUAUAAUGUUCUAUCGCUUUUCUCUUUUUCCAGUGGCGCACUAGGUUUAGACAGGUCAUGAAUAAAGCUGACAAUGACUCAAGUUCAAGAGCACUUGACUCCCUUUUGAACUACGAGGUUAUCUUUCAAUGAUAGUUUUGUUCUUAUGCACCAACCGAGAAUUUGCUCGGGUUGAGUUUCUACUAAGCAUUCAAUACUUUUACAUCCAGACUGUCAAAUACUUCAACAAUGAAUCGUUCGAAGCUACAAAGUAUGAUGAGUAUUUGAAGAGUAAGUGGCCAUUAAAAUAUGCUAUUGAAGCAAUCCAUAGUGCUCGGUUUUGUUUUCACUGAUGUCAAAAUUCAUAAGUUGUUAGCCAAACAAAAACCAUAAGGUUUUAUUCAGUAACUCAGGUUGUCCAGGCAAGUACCUUGGCACUACCACGUUGUUGCUUUAGACUCCCUAAAAUCAUGUUUGAAUUUAUUUCUAUUGAUUGUUUUAUAUGGACAUAAUGUCAUUCAGUCAGACUUCUUUUUUUCUUAUAUUAAGCUCUUUGGUACGUGCACCAUACGUUUGCACAUGAAGAAAUGAUGUUGAGAGCUUACUGUAGAUCUUACUAGUGAAUAAAUAGCGUCUAGAGGUAGUUUCACUUGCUCAUAAAGGGUGUCAUGAGAAUACUGAUGUUUAGAGGAGAAUGUUUUAUAGCUGGGGGUAUGGACUAGUGUCUAGAACUCACUUUGCAAAUCAAUAUGCCUGAAAAUAAUGUAUAGAGGAUAAUGAAAAAUGACAUUGGGCAAAGAUAUAUUUGGCUUAGACUCAAAUCACCCAUUAUGGCAGAUUAUAUUAUCUCUCAUAUCUGAUUUUCCUAAUGUUACUUCUAAUAAUGACAAGUUUUUCUUCUUAUAACCUGAUUGUUUGGGAUCUUAUUUUUCAGAAUAUGAAGAUGCUUAUCUGAAGACACAGAAUAGCCUUGGUUUCUUGAAUUUCGGUCAGAAUGCAAUAUUUAGUGUGGCUCUGUCCGCAACAAUGGUUUUGUGUUCACAUGGAAUCAUGAGUGGGAAAAUGAGUGUCGGUGAUCUGGUACGGUUUGUUAUUUGGUUUUAAUUUUUUUCUCUCGAUUCAACUUAUGUUUCUCCACAUACUAUCUCACAUACUAACUCUUCUUACACGGGUUUGUUUUUAUUUUUCUUAGAAUUUUUAUGCCAGAAAAUGUGUUUCUCCUUUGCACAAAUGUUUGAAAAGACUUAUGAUAUGCAAUAAUGUUGUUUGAUUAUUUGUUGUCCUAAUAGAUUGUGAGGAUUUAUUUUACAAUUUUGAGAAAAAAAUCAUGAUGUGUGGAUUUUACAAUAAAUAGAUGUUGUUUGUCAUGCCUAUGUUCUGAACAUCUUUAGCUCGGAAAAUCACAAUGUGUUCUGGGAUUAUCACUGUUGAGAAAUUGCUCUGUUAUUAGCACACUGCAAUUAGGGACAUAUAACUCUAUGUAGCAUAUUUAAGGUACGGACCAAAGUUCAAGGAAUAAGAUUUUUUUUUGUUCUGGUUAUCAUUGGACGUCAUCUAUAGAGAUGGUACCAUUAUAUGCACAUUUAAUCAUCUUAUAUUCAACUUCCACUUGCAAUUUCUAUUUCUGGUCAUUGCAAUAUUUGCUUGAUCUAUGCAGGUCAUGAUCAAUGGUCUACUCUUUCAACUUUCUUUGCCUCUCAACUUUCUAGGGAGUGUAUAUCGUGAAACGAAGCAGAGCCUCAUUGACAUGAAGUCCAUGUUUCAAUUGCUUGAGGUACUUUCCCUGCUCCGUUCAUAGUUAGUGGUGAAUAGCUUUGAAAUAAUUUGCACUCUUCUUGCUUCUCUUUUUAUUGUUUUCUGCUGUUUGCUAACCUUGCUGCUAUCUAUCCGUUUUCCUGGUUCGGACAUAGUGGUCUAUAGCCUUUGUGUGUAAAGCAUUUCCAAGUGUUGAAGAUCCAGCUUCUGUUGGGUGUUGGGCCUAUGGCUGUAUGACUCCGAUAGUCUGUUCUAACUCCUGGUUUCUUCUUUUUUUUUGUGUAAUAUGGGUCAUUAUGUCUUUUUCCUAGUUAGGAUUUCAUGACAAUUAGAUUGCACAUCCCAAGUGAGAGUUUCUGGUUUGUGCACAAUUUAUGAUAGAAGGACUGAAUUUUGCAAAUUCUCUCCUGCACUCUUCUUCUACAUGUUAUUGAAAUGCUGAUUGAUCGGAGAUCAAAAUGAAGAGCAUGCCCUGAAUUUCAGGAUUUUCAAAGAGGGAAGGGAAAAAUACUCCAUCCAACUUCUUGCUACCUGCCGCCAAAAGAUCUGAAGGAUGUGCCAGAUACUGAAAAUCAUAGUUUCUUCGAAACAGUAAAAUUUUCAAUAAGUCUUGACAGCUGCAGUUCUGGAAAGAAGGAAUAAGAUAUUUUCUGUUGUAUGUCUGGUUUAUGAUUCCACUGACCGCAGGCUGUCUUUCUUCUUUCCUUUAGUUUUUAUGCCAUGCUAGAGUCUGUCCUUGGCCUGUGUCUCUCAACAAAUUCUCUCUAUUUGCAUGCUUUUCUCCAGAAUGACAAGGGACGGGUCUAUUUAUUAUUUUGUCGAGUACUAUUGUUCCCAGAAAACCUGUGACACAUUCUUCUAUUUCUUGGGAAAUCCAAGAGUAGGUUCCCUAAGGUGAAAGCGGGUUCAUUGCAUAUUUCCGUUGUUUCCCAAUCUUGUGGUGCUUGUUCAUUCUAGAUGUUGCCAUCCGACUCCAGUAUGUGACAUCAGAAUGAUCCCUGGCUAGAAUAAUGCCUUAAUAUCAUGUAUAAUGGACAAUGUGAGCUUAAAGGCCCAAUAUGUAAUUUUAUAAAGUUGGCAAUCAGGGAGAUAUGGCUUCUUCUUGAUGAGAUGUAUAGUUAGAAGUAAAAUGCACGUGAUAUCUCUCAAAUUGGAAGCAGCGUAUUGGACUGAAACCAAGGAAAUUUGGAAGUAUCGAGGUACUUGGCUACUUGACCCUUUGAGAAACAAAUGGAAAUAAUUUUAUUACUUGAUUAUUAAAUUGGAAAAUAUAGAGUAAUAGAAAAGUAGUUCGCUUAAUAUCUUCUAGUCUGUGAUUGGCUCGAGCUAGGUAUUUGAGAACCUGAGACGAAUCGAUUAUGAGUUUAAAUCCUAUUCCUUUUUUAGCAUGGAUACAGUACAAUGUCCUAAGAGACAGGGAGAAUUGAGAUGAUGAAUUAUGGUCCUCAAGACUAGUGUGAGGAAGCUCUUGACACCUUUAAAGAUUCCCAUAACAUUGAGAAGGGAGGAAUGCACCUCAAGGGGAGGAGUAAGGGAGGUAGGUUUAGCCAUCAUUGAAGCUAUAUUAUAGCGGCAAUGUUGCAAUCAAUAUUAUUGCUAAUUAUUGACGUCAUGAUGUAACAAACUUAAUCGGAAUUGAUUACCAUUUCAUCAAAUAAGAUUGAUAGUGGAUAAUUGUGCAUCUACAUUAUCCAUCUUUCAAAGGACUAUCUAGAUACAUUCACAUUAAGAUCGAUCAAACUUCAUUUGAAACAUAUAAUGCUACGGAUAUUAGCUUUUUGGGCCUCCAUAAAGUACAAGAAGAUCUGUCCAAGCUUUGGUGUCUCUAUUUGUGAUUUUUGUUUCUGUUAUUCUAGAAUUUUUGAUUUUAGUUAAAUUCUAUUUAUUUUUCAUAGUCUGUUUAUUCUAAAAUCUAUUUUGAUUAUGUUCAGAGUCUGUUUUACGUUUUGAAAGUUUGUUGGGGGUGUCCCACCUUCUUUCAAGGCCUACAGAAAAGUCCUCAUAUACAACCCUGACACUUUAAAUUCUAAUUUUUGAGUUUAUCGCAUGUAAGGUACUCGUCAUUUUUUUUUUGAGUCCACAUAUCCAACCACACGCUUGUGGAUUCUAGGGUCAUAUCUUUGGUCUUAAGGAUUCAAGGGUCAUAUCGCUAACUUUGUGGAUUUAAGAUUAGUUCUUUUGUCAAUGUUAAACCUUUGCAGAUUCCAGCCCAAAUUUUUGUAUUUUAUUUUUCACAAUUUUGUUGCACUAAUGAGUGUCAAAGUAAAGUUGAUUGUUCUAAACUUGCCUCGGAUAAUGCUUAGAAGUAAAUUAAUUCAUAAUAAUGAUGAGGAUGUUCUAGAGAUAUGCCUCAUCUCACAUUUUGAUUUUAUUGAGCUUCAAGAAAGAAUAGAUCAUAGAUUUGAGGAAGUGAAUGGAAUUUUGAAAUAACUUUUUGGCACAAAUGACUACUUCAGAAAGUCUUUCACAUCCUCCGAGAGAUCUUGAUUUCAGGCGUAGUCAAAAGGCCACCUCUAAUGAAAAUGGGACAGAUAAUUCUUAAGUAUUCAUUGUUGUAAGUUCUAGAUGUUGAGCUGAUGAGAAUGAAUCUCAAGAUUCCCGCAUGAAAAUAAAUUGACCUUCUUUUAAUGGUUACUUACAACUAGAUGAGUUUUUGGAUUGGUUGGCCAAAAUAAAGAGAUUUUUCGAAAUUAUAAAAAUCUCAGAUGAGAAACAAGUAAAACUAUUAGGUUAUAAAUUGAAGAGUGGCUCCUCCAUUUGGUGGGAAUAAUUAUAGCCUACGCUUGCCAAGGAGGGUAAAGAAUUUGUUCCCAUUUAGGACAAAAUAAAAAAGCUUAUGAAAUUUCAUUUUUACAAUCUGAUUAUGAGCAUAUUUUAUAUCAUUAGUAUCAAAAUUGUAAACAAGGUCUUCAUUGUGUUUUUGAAUAUGUAGAGGAGUUCUUUAUCUCAUCUCAAAUCACUUUUAAUGUCAAAUCAUGUAGGACUCUAUUCUAUAAAAUUAACAUGAGAAGAUAAUCUAUAUAAAUCUGAUGAUAUAAAAUCUGCUCAUAAUCAAAUUGUAGAAAAUGAGAUUUCAAAGGUCUUUUUAUUUUGUCCCCAGCGUGAAUUUCUUUGCCCAUGCUGGUAAGUGGGAACUGCAACUGCUCCCACCAAGCACCACUCUUCAAUUUAUAAGCUAGUAACUUUUUUCAUAUUUGAUUUUCAUAUAUUUGAAAAUUUUCUCUACUUCAGCCAAUCAAUUCAUUUUUUCUUCUAGUUGUAAGUUUCCAUCAAAAGAGGGUAAAUCUAUUGUCAUAUGAAAACCCCAAGAUUCAUCCUCAUCUUUUCAACUUGUAGAUCUUCCAAAAACUGAAUACUUAAUGAUUAUUCAUCACAUUUUCAUUAUAGUCAGCCUUUUGAGUAUGUCAAAAUCAAGAUCUCUUAAAGUAUGUGAAUGAUUUUCUAAAAUACUCAUCUAUGCAAAAAGUUACUUUAAAAUUUCAUUCACCUCUUUAAAUUUACGAGCCAUCCUUUCUUGAAAUUCAAUAUAAUCAGAACGUGAGAUAGAGCAUGCAUCUAGAACAUCUUUAUUAUUAAUAUGAAUUGAUUUACUCUAGACAUUUUUGAAGGUGAGUGUAGAACGAUCAACCUUACUUUGACACUCAUUGGUGCAAUAGAAUUAUGGAAAAUAUAUAGAUUCCGGUUAGAAUUUAAAAAACUUUAUCCUUGAUAGAAGAAUUAAUCUUGAAUCUACUUAGUUGGAGCCUUGAACUGUUGAAUCUGUAAAGGGGAUGACGGUGAAUUCUUAAGAACAAAGAUAAGACCUUUGAAUCGACAAGGGAGUGGUUGGAUCCACAAGUAGAAAAUGAAGAGUACCUCACAAGAUAGAAACUCAAAAAUUAAAAUUCAAUGAGUUGGGUUUACACAUGAGGGGCCUUUAACCUUGAAAAUAGGUGGGACGCCCCAACAAACUCUGAAAUGUAAUACAAACUCUAAAUAGAAUCAAAACAUAUUUUGGAAUAAAUAAACUGUGAAAAACAAACAGACUCUGAAAAAAAUCAAAACAGUUUCUAGAAUAACAGAUAAAAAUCACAAACAAACUUUGAAUGAUUCAGCAAAGCUUGGACCGAUCUUCUCUUAUUUUACAUAUACUCAAAAAACUUUUUGGCCAUCUUUUCACACUCUUAUCUUUAGGGUCCAACAUUGUGCAUUUUUGGCUGCAUCAACAUAUUAUGCUUGACUUGAAAAAUGUUAAGGAUGCUGCUUGUUUGGGUAUCAAAUCCAAGGUUGUGCAUGGUUUCAAUAGCCCAUUAUAUAUGCUCAGGGUAUUCUUAUUAAUUUAUUGUCCUUGAACCAUUUAUGGACUAAGCUUCAUGUAUUGUCUGCAUCCUGUUCUUUCCCUUAUUUGGGUUUCAUCUUCAUAAAUUCUUGACAAUAGUGUGUGCUCAAUGUAAGAAAUAUCUCCUGGUCUGUCAACGGCCCCGUUCAAGAGAUCAGACUAAGCAAGAUGCUGUAAACUCAUCUAAUGCAUCCGCCAUCUUUCACUGCUGAAGUCCUUUAACUCACGUAGUAUCAGUUUAUUGAUCUUUUUAUGCCUGUUUGGAAUUAUGUAAUGAAAAAGGAGCCGAUGGCUAUCAAAUGAAAGCAUGAUUUUAAAUUAUUAUCAAGAGCAGUUCGUAUCUCGUUUUUCAUCUGAGACGGGUAAUAUGUGAACGUUACCUCUGAUAUUAUGGACCUCCUUUCGAUUGUUUUUUGUUGAUAUUUGUGCAGGAAAAGCCUGAAAUUAGGGACAGGGAUGAUGCAACAUCUUUAAAGAUCCGCGGAGGAACCAUUGAGUUUGAUAAUGUGCACUUUGGGUAUAUCUCUGUCUCUUAAAUACGAUCACAUAAAACACGUUCCAAGUAAAAAAAAGAGCCUUUGCAUAGCUAGCAGUACAUCUAUGUUAGUAGGUUGUUAAUCAAGCCCCUAAGAAGGACACAUGAAGGAGACAUAGCUGAGCCAAUACAGUGGAAUUUCUUCCCACAUUCAUGGAUCUCUUCACUGAUCACUUAUUCAAAUGAAGUUGUUAAUGGCAAGAAAACUAUUCUCCUUACUGCCACAACCAUAAUUUUCGAGUGACAACCUGCUUAUCGUGGACAUUCUCAGUCACCCAUACUCCCUCUUCCAAAGUUGUGUCAUUCUGGAUUGCCCACCGAGGAAGUAGCCUCUGGAAGAAUUCUAGUUGAAUCAUUCCAUAUUAGAUUUGUCCUUGCUUUCCUUUUAUUCGACUUCUGCCCUUCAUUGGCGAGACUAAAACAUGGACAAUUCACUGGCUACCUAUUGAUUCGGAGUUCUUCUAACCUAUCUCCCAUGACUUUCUUACCCUAAUGUUCUCCAGAUUCUUGAUGUAUUUUUUCGGUCAGGAGUGAUCUGGUGAUAGUUUCUCUCAUUCCGCCAUCAAAUACAGUUUAUCAGUUAGAUGAACAUAACCAUUUGAAUGAAGAAUCACCAUCAUAUUCUGAUCUUCUUCCACUGUUGACAAAGAUUUUCCUCUACUUUCAUGUUGAUCCCGAAUAUUUUUUUCAUUCUUGAUAUUUUUUUUUGGCUGAAACGAUCUUCUUUGGGAUGAUCUUCUGGUUUAACGUUGUUGUUCCUCUAAUUUACCCUCUCAUCAGGCUCGUCAGUCUAUGGUGCAAUGCUAUCACUUCUCUUCUCUUUUCUCAUGAGUGAGUACAGUCAGCAGAAUUUGGUGGGGUACAUUUAUUAAUCUAUCCAACUCUGAAAGCCAUUAGACCGAUGUAGAAUGGCUGAUUUGAUCCUCCUUCACUGGUAUUGGAUCAACCUAUCGCUCUAUGUUCCUCUUUUCAUCUUCUUGUGUAGAAGUAUCUUGUCUCAUUUCCUGUUCCGUUUCUUUCUCUAGGCCGCCAUGCAGUAGCCGUCCACGAUUCCAUAAGCAUAGAAAAUAGUGGCUUCCAUAGUACUGGACAAGGAUCGAUGUGUUCUCUAAAUCAUGCCUCCGUUUUCUCCUCCUGAUUGGUCAUGCUAUGGAUUUUAUCAUACCAUUUACUUUUCCCCGACUUUCAAUUAAGGGUCUGCUUCUUUUGUUGUACUUUAUUCAACCAAUAUUUUCGAACUUUUUGCAUUUUUUUCUUGAGGUCGGUUUACGCUGCAGCUUUUGAUUCUGUUCUUUCUUCUCAUGCUACGAGUUACUUUUAAUUUCUUUUCUUGGUGCUGAAAUAGACCUGGUCACAUUGUCUUCAGCUGAGAAAAGACCAAUUUUGGUUUUGACCACAUAUCAUAUGUUUGUUAGCCUUAGUGAGUUGAAAUCUCAUGGCUACAAAGUUUGCUAGUAUCUAUCAUUUUCUAUCUGUUGGAUUUUUUUUUUGUUUGUGGCAUAUUGACCUUUUCUCUUAUGGAUUCAAUGAAUUGAGUUUUUCUGCCAAUAUUUCUGUCAUUAUAUGAUUUAGUUUUGUUAAUGAGAGGGGAUAAUGUGGGAAAAAAACGUGUAAACAAGGGUUAGUGUUGUUAGUCAGUUCCUAGGUUGGUUAGCCUGUUGGUCAGUUUGCUAGUUUGGUUUGGCUGCUAGUCAGUUGCCUAGUUUGGUUGAAUGUCCUAUCUAUGAAUUGAUAAGACUAUUUUUUCCUAACUAUUUAUCCUUGUUUUUUUAGCGUCAGAUAAAGCGCAAUAAUUAAGCGUAUGAGUUUUUGGUUUGUGAAAGAAUGACACUUUUUUAUACCUAUUUGCAGUGAGGGGAUUAAACGUUCUAUUUGGAUGUUAUAAAUUUUAUUCUUCCAACCAGUAUGGACUAUUGGAACGGGUCGCUUUAUGGGCUUUCUGAUUCCUUGGGACUUGUAAAUGGGAGUGCAAUGGCAGGACCUAUAUGAUUCCAUCUGAAAAAACUGGGCCCUCCGUUAAAAAAAAUUCUUAAAUGGAGAGCGCAAAGCCCGUCUAUUUAAGAGAGUUUUUAUUGUGGGACUAUUCUCACUUGUUAUUAACUUAGGCCUAUCUGCCCAGAUGCUCAUUCUUAUGGUUCCUUCUUUAUAAUAGUUUUUUGAUUCGGUUCCUUGACCUAAGGCUUGUGAUUUAGAAGUUUUGAUCAACUGCUUGAAGUCAUUCAUUUAUGAUUGUAUCGCCACCCUUCCCCUUCCUAACUCCUCCUCGUUUUAACCGGAGGCUUUGUAUUUUCCCAUUUAAUCUAUAUGAGGAUUAUGCUUUUAAUUUCAUUUAGUUUCGCGUCCACAACCUUUGGCUCAAUUGUUUGUAAGCUAAACUUGGCCCUGGGCAUGAAGAGUGUGAGAAAACUUCACCAGUGCACCGCAGGUCUAGGUUUUAUGUGCAUCUUCUACUCUCUCUUCUCAACUCCCUUCUCUUGAGUUUCCGCAUGGUAUCAUGGCAGGUUCAAGGAACAUAGAACCUACUACUCUUCUUCAGCAAUAACAAUUUCGUCUAUCAUCAGUGGCGUUGACCUCCUCAUACUUUCACGAUGGACUAAUUACGAUCGAAGAUCCUUUGAUGAUUCCUCCAUCAUCCUGAUCAUUCAUCUCAGUUCAAUUGGUACAUCCUGUUGAUUCUACUUUCUCUGUCAGACUCUGUUUGGGCGAUGGAUUCUCCUGCAGUUGCCGCUGUAAUGCUUAUAGAGGUAGGGACAGAUGCAGGGCACUAGUCUCGCUGUGUAAAUCCCAGUCUGAUCCCCUCAGCCCUUUCCUCCAGAUGAGUCCUCUAUUCUUCUGUAUUCUCUGCUAGGUGCUUAGUUCCUGAAUUUUGGCCCCAUAUUUUAACAAGACGAUUUGUAUUCCACCAACUAAUCUGGGCCUGUUCUAAAGUGGAACGUUGGUCUCUUGAAGAUGACGAUGUGAUGUUGGCUGUUCUGUGAAACCAGGUGACGCAAUUGUUUCAUCACUUGAAAUCUGUCCUGUGAUUGUUCAGGCUUGGUUGUUCUUUCUUCCCCUUUUUUUAUAUUCUUUAGGUGGGCCUAAUUCCGUGCUAUUUAAUAACUAUUUUAAUAUUUUAAUAUCCAUCUGCCCUUAAGCUCAGUACCAAACCAAAACGAUGGAGUGGUGUUUGAUGGUUUUGGCCAUCAAUGGGUUUAUGUUUUAUAUAUUUGACGAGUAUGAUCUUUCAUCUUUUAACUUCAGUUGCAUAAAAAACUUCAGUCCUUUUGAAUGUGGGUAUUUUCAUGUUUGUUUGCAGAUAUCUAACAGAGCGAAGAAUUCUUGAUGGAGUAUCUUUUGUUGUAUCCGCAGGAAAGAGUGUGGCUAUUGUUGGAACCAGUGGAAGUGGUACGAUCUAAUGCUUUUGUAAUUUUAGUGCCCAUGAUGACAAUGGACGUCUAUUUUUCAUGGAUGACUGAUCCUCCUUUGAUAUUUCGAGCUAUGCUUGGACGUAUUACACUGGGUAUGCAAGUUUAUUUAUCAAUUGCAUUCGUAGAAACCCUAGAGAUUUCGUGGAAUGUGCCUCUGCUGUGUAGUCAUUGAAGGCCGACAAAGCCGUACUGUGAUGGCUGGUUACCUUCGUAUUGCCUUGCCUGAUGCCAAUGCGAAAAAUGCGACUCAAUAAAUGGAAGGAUAUUGGGAAAGAGGUGACUGAGGGUGAAAAUAAAGGGGAAAUAAUGGACAGAUAUGGAUACUUUCUCCUGUUGGCGCUAUUGUGCUGCUUGUUCAUUUCUUUUUUCUCCUUGUGGUUGAUACUGAUCCAUCUGGGCAGCAUCUAGGACUGCAAUGGUUAGUGGAUAUUGUUUUUCAUAAUGAAGCGAAACACCAAGGAGGAGAUGAGUAGAUGAGGAAAAAGUAUGAUUCAUGUACAUUUUCUUUUUUUUAACCAGGAGAACUGUUUCUCUUCAACAACUGAGGAUAUUUGAUGGAUACAGAAAACUAGAGAAAUAGAAAAUUUUCCUUUUAUGGGGCUAAUAGUAAGUUGGGCAUUUAAUGGAUGGUCAAUCAACUAAAAAAAUACAUCGUUAGUGAAUAAAGAAUUAAAAUUCCACGUUGUUUCCAAACUAGCCUCAUUUCACCAAACAUAAGCACGAAACAUCUACUGAUCUAUAUCAAUUUACCCAAUUGUGUGGGACUCAAUUCUGGGGAAGAAAGAUUGUGACACUGAUCUAAAAGGUUAUGUUCCAGAUGAUGGAACUCUUCUUAGUAAUCCUAGAAACAUGAAUUGUAGGAUUAUUUGAUCCUCCAACACUUUUUUUUCUGAUUCUCACGACAAGGUGGAGCACGAUGUAAGAUGAUUCUUGGGAUGGUGUUUCCAGUGACAAUUCUUUCCUCUCCUAGUUGCCAUAAUUGGACUUGGUACUGAAAGCUCAAAGUUGGCUCAUCAGGGAAAGUACUCUGCCUUGGAAAAUUUAAGACACGAAUACAAGUCUCAAACAUGAGGCUACCUGAAGGAUAGCUUCAUGUGAACAUAAUGCCAUUGCGCAACAUCCUGUUUUAAAUUCUUGAAUCUAUAGUUCAAAUCAUUGGUAAGACUGUUUUAAACUCACCACAUGUUACAAUUAUGCAAAGAAUUUCAGCAUGCGAAUUCUACAUUUGAUUUUUGCCAUUAUACUCUGAAGAGGUUCCAUGUCAGUCUCAGAAAAAUCAUCUCCCUAGGUGAAACUGUGUAGGAAGCUUCUUGCGUCUUCUCUUAUCAUGAUGAAGACCAAUCCUGCCGUAAGGGUCUGUGCCAUUUUGGUCUCAUGGGGGUGCCUUCCUACCAUUGGUUUAAGGCGUGACAUUAUGUUGGUUAUCAAAUAUGUUGUUUUGCUAGUCAACUUAGCUGGAUUCUUGCAAAGUUUGCUUGCAUAAACUUUCAUGAAACUCUCCAUUUAAUAGACUGUGUGAGAAUUGUGAACAUGAUGUUAAUCUCUUUAAUACCACUCAUGGUGAAGAUGGUGGGUCUCAAUAAAGACUGGGUUGAACAGUUGGCAGAUAAUGUAAUUUCCACGUUGAUAAAAUAUAUGAAUCAAGACCAAAUAAGAAAGCUAAAACCUUUCAUUUAUAUUGUACGGAUAGUUUAAUUAGAAUGUAAAGAUGGAUGCAGGCAAUGGAUGCUGCACUCAGUGGUGAUGGCAUGACGCAGGAAGUGAUUGUGGAAGACUGGAUCAGAAAAAUAGUAGGGAAGCUACAUUACGUUUUAACCACUAUGUUUAAUCCUGUGUGUUACCCCUCUCCAUGUAAUUGCCUCAGAGGCUAGAAUAAUGUAAUGACUGUUUUGAGGUCUGUUAUUAUGGGCUGGACAUGAAUUGCCUCUAAGUGGAGUUGGUUCAGACUGCUCAGUCCGAGUCAGGCCGUGUUAGUCAUGCACGAGUUGGUGGAAGGAGAGGUAUUGUUCUUCAGUUAGCAGACAUCACGACAAGGAACAAUGUCUAGUAAAAAAGACGUUUUUUUAAGACAGCCAGAAAUUUCUAUCAGAAUACUAUGAGCUCUACUUCGCUUUUAAAGGCCUCGUCUUUUCUAUGCAUUGAUAACGGGUGAAGGAGAAUAGAAGUGGAAGACCAUCAUUACUUGAAUGCAGGCCUCUCUGAAGGAUUGUAUUACAACCUGAGACCUGGCAUCUUACUCCAUCUAUAACCUAAGGUAGUGCUCUGCGUACCGUCAAAAAGGGAUAUUAACAGAUGGGUUGUGAUUCUUGAUAUCCCUGUCAAUCUUUAUUGAUUCAAUCUGGCACUCUACUUAUUGAUGGAGUGAGGCUAAUGGUAUGUUUAUUCAUUUAUUGAACAGUGUUUUCCUUGGAUUAGUAGAUUUAGGAAAAGAGACCAAGUCGUGUGAAUGAGGAUUUUAAGUUGAAAAACAGUUUUUAUGGAUUUGAUGGAUCCCGAUCUUUGAUGGAUUUUUAAGUAUUCCUCGCAGAACAUGACAUCCUUUGGAUCCAUUUCGUAUGUUAGGUUUAGUUGGCGUUGAUGGGACCCUAUUCAGUGCUGUGAAUCAUUCUCUGGCAACUUCUAGUUUGAUCAGGGAAACAACCGUGAACUAGUCUUAUAAUGAAGGCGCUUGACGAUAUGGUCGAGAGGAAGAAGCUGAUAAUAUUAUAGCUCCCCAUGGUUGCUUUGGCUAAUUAAUGUCGAAAUAUGUUAGUCUCAGUGAAUCUCUUUCCUCACACCUUUUCCCAUCUUCUUGGCCUGUAGGAGAGGUAUUUGGUUCACUGCUUUAGGUAUUAGUUCCAUGGCUUUCAACCAAAAUGGUUAGAUUUUAGUCAGUCUGGUUGAUUACUUGGGCCGUGUGAUUGACACUUGGGCUGAUAUCAUUGUUGAAUUUUUAAAUAAUAAUGCACUGUGUGGGAAUUCACAUCGUGAUGAUGGUCAUCACUAGAAUUUUUAGCUGUUAGGAUUUGUAGGCCAUGAUGCAUCGUGUCUGAGAACACACACCGUAAUGAUGUUCAUAACGGGAACUUGUAGCCUGAGGGUAUUAUAUUCGGAACCUACACCGUAACUCCACACCGUCCAUAUCCCCCUAUUUGUUUCAACAAUCAUUAACCAUACUAACCUGAGUAUGGACAUAGUGCUCACAACCUCCCUAUAGACCUAACAGCUCUUGAAGCUCCAUCUGCAAAUGAGCAAGGCUUUUGUCCUCUCUUCCACAACAUCUAAUAUGCUUCUAUAUCAAUAACUGUCAUUGAUUCUUGGACUUUAGAAAAUCUGGCGAGAGAUGAGAGGCAGGUAAGGCUUAUUCAAUCAAUAAAUUUUUUGAACCAUGUGGAUGCAGCGAAGCAGUCAUCUUUGGGAUAUAUGUAAAAACUUUCUUUUAAAGGGCAUCAUUUUUGGUAUUUCUAAAGGCGUUUUUUGACAUUUGAUUUCCUCUGUACUAAAUGAUUUAUUGGCCUUCCUUGUCCAGGUAAAUCGACCAUUCUUCGACUUCUAUUCAGAUUCUUUGACUCUGACUCUGGAACUGUAAGAAGCCUUCUUCUCUUCUUUUCUUCGAGAAAGGUUCUUUUAAUCGUGGUCAAUUUUGUCAUCAUACAACUUAUAUCUCACAAUUAAUUGUGGAUUUCUUGUGGUCAUUCUUAUGUAAAAAUGUCUAACCCUAUGCUCUCCAAUGAAAGAAUAGUUGGGAUAUUUUUAAUUCUCUUCGAUUUGCUUCUCUUUUUGCCAUGAUUUUGGACAAUCAGUUCUUUUUUCCUAAAAGAAGAAUCAAAACAAUCUUUUCUACUAUGUCCACAUUUGUUUUAGGACUUCAAUUGGGUUUGUAUACUUUUUUGCGAGCAUAUCUUUGCUCCGUCAGUCUUCAGAACAACGAAUCUUUUUUGUGUAUAAUUUGUAUGAACCUCAUGAAUCUUUUCAAGAGAUAUGAUGUUUUGGUCAUUUAUCUUUUUCUUAUUUGUGUUUGCGGAUUUAUGACUCUCAAAAAGGUCAUUGAUUUUAGUACCAAUACUGAAUUUGAUCAUUUGAUGCAUUGAGGUAUUGUUUUUUUCUUGUUUGCCCUAACUGCUUGUGCUUGCUAAAUACAUGUCUAUUUUAGAUUUAAUCAUUUACAUUAAUGGUACAAGUAUGUGUGCUUGUCUUUCUCGUGCGUGUAUCUUCUUGAAUAUUUAGAGUUAACGGUGAUAUGAGAUCCGGCAACUGCGUUACAUACAGUUGUAAUCCAAAUUCAUAACUGAACAGUUCUUGAAUCCUCUUGCAGAUAAGAAUAGAUGGCCAAGAUAUACAGAGCGUAACAACAGAGAGCCUUAGAAAAUCCAUGGUUGUUGUGCCACAGGAUACUGUGAGUAGCUCAAGCUUAAUUUUGAUUGACUUCUGCUUUAUAAAUAUUAUACGAUUUAUGAUUUUCAAGCCAAAAUGACGGGCAGGUACUGUGUUUAACGCCAUCCUUAUGCAUGAACAUUUUAAGUCUAUGGUGAUUAGCAGAUUCAUGUGUACCAUUGUGGGGUCGGCUAUAUUAGAGAUUCUUUUCACCCAAAGCAACACAUUUAUGUCAUACAUAUAUGUUAUGAUUUUCAAGUCAAAAUCAUGGGUCGGGUACUGUGUUCAAUGCCAUCCUUAUGCAUGGACAUUUUAAGUCUACAAUGAUUAUCCUGUGUACCGAUCGGGGGUAGGCUAUAUUAGAGAUCCAUUUCAUCUAAUGUAGCACAUUAAUUUCUUCCCCUGACAUAAAUGCUUGAUCCAUCCUUAUGCUAUCGUAAAGCAAAUGUUGAAACUUCUUGUCAAGAACUCCAGUCUGAAUAUGCAAUUCUUCCUCUCAUUUUCACAUUGGCCUUGAACUUUUAUGUGAUACGAUUCAUUUUGAAUAAAAUGAGGCAAGAAUCGUUGUCAGUGUAUGGCUGAGCUAACGUCUGCCACUCUUACUUGAGCAUCGUUAUCAAAGUUACAGAUGUGGAAAUGCUGCUGGAAAUUCGGAAAAAAAUUACGUAUUAAUACUUUGUCUUUCUUUGCAUCAACUUUUGAAUGCUUCGGUAUCUCUAGACAUGAAGAGGACCAUCUUUGAUGCACCCAUCAGAAAAUUGAAAUUCUUCUGUUAACUAUUUGUAUAGUUGUUGAAACCAAGGAAAACUAAUCUGGCAUGACAAUCCAAAACCAAAUGUGAUGGUCUAAUCAAAUGCUUUUCCCGAAUAAACCGCCCAAUAUUUGUAAAGCUGUUGAAACCAAGGAAAAAUAAUCUGUCAUGACAAUUUGAUCUGAAAAGGCUUACAAAUAUUGGCCGGUUUAUGUUGGAAAAGCAUUUGAUUAGACCAUCACAUUUAGUUUUUGGAUUAUCAUGCCAAGACAUAACGUAUGUAUCUUAGCUGAAUUUUCAGCACAUAAUUGCUUGGUUUUGCUAUACUCAACGAACAUAACCAGUUCAAUUUUUACACCAAGGCAAGGUUUUGCCUUGUUAGGACUUUUCAUAUUUUUCUAUUGCACCUGUUUAAGCCACGCUUGUUCCUUUUGUUGGACAAAUGGGAUUCCACCCAUGCUGUUCCCCGUAUUCCUUUGUUGAUAAGUAUGCCGGCAGGUCCUCUUCAACGAUACAAUAUUCCACAACAUACACUAUGGUCGAUUGACAGCAACUGAGGAAGAGGUCAGUGCUGAAUGUUGAAGAAUGAGAACUCUGUUAUGUUUCAGCUUCUUUAUGCUUGUUAUUUCCAUGUCUAGGUUUAUGAUGCAGCUCGACGUGCAGCUAUUCACGAUACUAUAAUGAACUUCCCGGAAAAGUACUCCACUGUGGUCGGAGAACGAGGGCUCAAGGUCAGACGCCCUUGUGCCUUUCGUUAUGCUGCUAUUUCUUCUUAUUAUAGAGAGCUCCAUUACAUUUUCUAAGUUCAAAAUGCCAUGAAGUUUCAUAAACUCAGGCUGAAGACCAGACAGAAGUGACAUAAAUUGAUCUUUGUCCUUGUGUAAAAACAAGAAUCUUAUGCUUGGGGAUGCUGAUCCGAUCUUAUUCGGUGGUGUUCCUUCUUCAGUUAAGCGGCGGAGAAAAGCAGCGGGUAUCACUUGCACGCGCCUUUCUAAAAGCAUCAUCUAUUCUGUAAGUAAUUCUUUUAUGUCGAUGAUACAAUCCUCUUGGUUAUGCCAAUUUUGUCUCCGUGCUAGUUUUGGUAGAAAAUAAACUUGAUCUUCCUCAGCAUCUACGCCCAUAUCAUUGUAUUGUAUCAUGUUAUGAACCUUUGGACAGGGCAACUGCAUGUGAUAGGAACCUUCAAACUUUUAGAUCUACAUGCUGUAUUAAAUGACUUUUUCCAUAGCAUCAACUCUUUCUUCCUUGUGUCCUUCUCCCGUUGUUUUUAAUCUUUGGUCUGUGUUUCGUCCGUGAUUCUUUACUGUUAUGUAUUGCAUUGAUUUUUUUUUUAUAUUUUCCUGGAAGAGUAGAUCAGAUCAAGUGAAAGCUAUACCUCAUUCAUGGAAUUCACUUUCCUAUUCAGAGUAAAGGGAGAAUCAAUUGCUCAUUCCCACCGAUCCAAGAUGGGUGAUGAGACUUGUCAGAUUCAAACAUUAAUUUGCAUGAAAUUUCUUGCUUGAUGAUUAUUUUUUUUUCAUUUUAUAUUGACCUCAGUAGAUGUCUUUAUAGAAGAUAAGGAAACUGAUUUGUGUAUUAUGGCUACACAUUACAUCAUGAAGUUGUCCAUUGCCGUUCCAGGUUAUGUGAUGAAGCUACCAGCGCCCUUGAUAGCACAACUGAGGCAGAAAUACUGAGCUCAUUGAAGUCUUUAUCAAGGAACCGGACCUCGGUCUUCAUCGCCCAUCGACUUACCACUGCCAUGCAAUGUGACGAGGUAAUGAGAACCCUAGAAGCAUAGUUUUAUUUUUCAUUAUUAUCUCAUUCAUAAAUGCUUAUUUACACCAGCAUGAUUUAUCAAAUCUGCUCCAAGGAGCUACUUGUUCCAUCAUCGAUUUGGGCCUCUGUGCCUGAGAGCCAUCAAUAUGACCAAAGUGGAGGAUGAAACUACGGUUCAUUAUUCAAUUCUCUUUGAAAAUUUUGAUGGGGAUUCAGUACAACAGUGAUGAUGUACUUGAUAAAUAUAGAAAUGGAGAUGAAUCCUGUGAAGAAUUGGAAGUGCCAUUAUUUUCUCCACACUAUCUGCGAUGAAGACAGCACCCACAGUGAUAUGACAAGGGUCAAGGCUCAUCAAUUCAUUAAGAAUAUAUCAAUGAAGAAUAUUUUCCCGAUAUGGUGGUGUUCCUAUGCAAUAGCAUGAAUACUUUUAUGCACUCAACGGCUCAUAAAUCUCCACGGACUCACUGCAAUCUAUGGGCCCACAUCUUGAACAUUUGAAUCUCCUUUCUAUUUAUAGCUAAGAUACUCAUACCACUCAAUCCUCUCCUUGGGAUUUCAGGCUUUCUAGCUCCUGCUCCUGCAAAUCGUCUCUUCUGAUGAUGGGUUUUUGCAGGUGAUUGUUCUUGAGAGCGGGAGGGUGGUGGAGCAGGGCCCACAUGAUGUUCUUCUGACCAAGGGAGGGAGGUACGCCCAGCUGUGGGCCCAGCAGAACAACAGCGAUGGCGCCGACACAACUCUCCAGCUGGAGUCAACCCCAUCCCAGGUACCCACCGGCUCCAAGCUCUAAAUCCCAGAGUGUACAUUCCCCACCGAACGCCCCUGAGAUCUGGAAGCCGGCCUUUUGUAGAACAUUUUGCCGUAGUCGAUUAUUUUCUUUGACUGAUCAAACCUGAGGAUAAACGCGACGACUUUAUUGUAUAUUUGUUUCAUCAGUUUUUUUCCUUUAUGACUUCUUUGAUGGUACCGCAGUCUGCCAAUUUUUUUUUAUUCUCUCUCCCUCCCUCUCUCUCUCUCUCUCUCUCUGAUAAGUAAUGGCCGAAGAGGAAGAGGAGUAACCUUGAGACGUGGGGAUUAUUACCAGGAAAAGGGAAGGAAUGGGGCAGCAGAAAGGUGAGAAGGUGUAUGUGGGAGGGCGUCAGGAGCCAUGUAAAAUAGAGAUUCAGCCUGAGAUUGGAGGAAGGGGGUCGUAAUUAGUCGGCCACUAAAUGGGUAGUAUCAAAUCCACUAAACUUUAUUCUUAAGAAACAAAUGCACAUUAGGGUUGGUAUUUAUAUCAAUUCCACUACAACGGGAGAAAUGGAGAGAAACAGAUUAGUUUAGACCAGGCCAAUUUGGUUCAUGCCUAUAGUAAGAAAAUCAAUGAAAAGAAAUAAACAAUUGCAGAGAUAAAUAAACGAAAAGAAAACAGCCAAGUCAUAUUCCAGUACUCUCCCUCAAGCUAGUGAAUGUUUGUUGUCUAUUCUCAGCUUGGACACUAGAUGAUAAGAUGUGUUAGUGUGAAGACCCUUCUGCAUGUGAACUGUAUAACUUAUGUUUGGAUGUUUAUGAGAUUAGUAAAUUUCUUUUUCAACUAAUUACUAACACACCUCUAAUAGUGAUGUCUUGUUUAGUUGCUCUAAGCUUGAGGUUGGGAUCAAUUAGAUAGUUAAUUGGUUUAUAUUUUAUUUUAACAUUUUUCUGCAGCAACUCCUUGCUAUAUUUCUUUUGGGAAAUAAAAAUAUUAUUAUGGAGUGAGCAACUCAAACUCAAGAAAAUAUUUGAACUUUCACAAGGUUUCUCUUUCAAAUUUCCUAGCUAGACUAAGAUGUUUUAUUUCAUGUGUCAUAAUUUUUUGUCACCAUUGUAUCAUCAAUAUUUACAAUUAGGGCCAUAAGAUCCUUCGAAGAUGAAUAUAUAAUAAACAAGGUGUGAUUGCCUUGACUUGUUUAUAUUCCAUCUUGUUCAUGACUUUCAUAAAUCUACGAAACAAAGUUCGAGGGGAUUGUUUUAGUCCAUAUAAGGUCUUUUCAACUUACAUGUCAUAUUUUUUAUUAAACUAUUCCCAUAUUCUAGUGAAACUUCAAUAUAAAUUGUAUUUUUAAUUCUUCUGUAAAAAUAUAUUUCUAAUAUCAAAUUAUUGAAGAUCUCUACAAAAGUGAGUUGAUAAUAAUAAUGAGAUCCUAAUCAUAUUUAUUAUUUUACAACAAGGGUAAAAGUUUAAAAAUAAUCUAACUCGUAAGUUUGUGUAUACCCUUUAGCAACCAGUUGAACCUUGUACCUUUCUAAUGAUCUAUUUACUUGAUAUUUUAUCAUGUAGACCUUUUUGUAGCUAACAAUUUUCUUUCCUAUUAGUAGCCUCAUCAACACCUAAGUAAUAUUUCUUUUAAUAAAAACUUCAUCUUAUGAUUCAUAGUUUCUUUCUAUUUUUCAUUAGUUAAAGCCUCAAAAAUAGUAUUUGGAAUGGUGGUGGAGUUUAAUCCAGAGAUAAACAAUCAUGAGACAAGAGGAGUGCAAUGAGAUACAAGGGCUUUUAGGCCAUGCUCUAACACCUUUUCUAGGGUUUGUAGGCAAGACUUCAUCAUCAAGUAAAAUUGUGGCAUGGGAUGUCUGAUUUGUGUCAUCUCAAGGGGACUCUUGAAUAUGUGCAGAUAUUAGAACAUCCAUUUGACCAAAUAUUUCUUUUUCAUGCUUGUAAGGAUGGGUUCAAGGGUAAGUGAAGCAAUGGACACUAUCUUGGAAUCCAAUAAAGAAUCUAAUAUAACAAUUAAAAAACUUGUUUCUUGACCAUCAAAAACAUGACUCAUUCCCUUAUCACAAGGUGUUGUAUGCUAUACUUCUUUUUAAUUGAAGAUAGUAUCUCUUGAAAUAGAGAAUAUUUUAGAUGGAGAAUGAUAUAGUAUCAAUAUAUCUUUUAGGCUCGAUAGGAUCUGAUUUAUCUCUAUGUCGUUCAUGAAUAUGGACAAAGGUUAUACAUUCAAAUAUUUUGGUAGAAGAUUUAUUUUUGAUAGAAUAUGAGUAAAAAAACUGUAAUAACAUCUAUACUAGACUUUUAAAGUUUAAGGAUUUAGAUGGUAACUGAUUUAAGGACAUCCUCAACCCCAAAAAAUAUUUUGGCACUAUAUUUUGAAUGAAAAUUGAUCUGGCCACCUCUAGUAGGCGUCCAUUCUUAUGGUGAACCACCCCAAUUUUGUUGAGGUUUGUAGAUACAUGAUGGGUCAUGUAGAAUUUAUUCUUUCUGAAAAUAAGAAAAUAAUAUUCGAUUGAAAUAGUAAUGAACUUUUAUAAUUUUGUCCCAUAAUUAAAACCCAAUUUGAGCUUGUGAGUAUCUGCAUGUAUUCCCACAUUUACGAUCACCACUGAUGAUUAAACUUCUGGUUUUGGGUCAACGCCAUGGCCUGCAUGAGGAGAACAGCCAGUUUUGAAAGAUACGGGCAACACAAAAAAGUCAACGCCUAUACUGUUUCAUGAACUCGUUAAAGAAAAACUUCGAGAAACCCUAAUUACACCGCCAGAUGGGGAAAAAAAGCAAAGAAACGACCGGAACAGCACGGCGAUCGGAUCAGAGAGUCACGAACAUGAGCGCAAUCACGUAAAAAUAGGGACUUUCAGACCUCAGCGCCUGGAUUUAAUGCCGGAAGAGCGAGCCCCGCCGCCCUCCUCUCGCCUGGUGGGAUCUCGCGUUGCCAGACGCAAGGAGAGACGCUUGGAAAAUAGGAGGGCAUCAACAUGAGCAGCCGUCAACACGGCACAGGCCUCCUUUCUCUCUCUCUCUCUCUCUCUCUCUCUCUCUCUCUCUCUCUCUACAGGGAGGGUGACUGAUUGCAGUUCAGGCUCCUGCGAUGCACUGCGCCGAAAGCUAGCCGCCAAGGUUGCGCCGCUGGUGCCUUUCUUUCUGUCACCUCUUCUUUUGUCUGUCGUCUCUCUGUCUCUGUCUCUCUAUCUCUCUCCCCUCCCUCCUCUCUCUCUCUCUCUCUCUCUCCUACAGGGAGAGGAGAGGGGGCAGCCAUGGAAAAAUAUGGGCAUGGAUAUGCUCCCUCCACCCACCUUCUAAGCAGCCACACCAAUGAAUGAAACACGUGUUCUGCCUUGGAAUAGAUAUCAUAAUCAGGCUCAAAUAUAAAUCAUCGUCGGCCAUGGAGGCCACAGAAGAGCUCUCCGCCUCUCCCCAGUACACUUUUUUUUCUAAAAGAAGGGCCACCAUCUCCUGCUCCUGCCAUUGCCACUCGCCGGAGCAGAGUCGUUUGUAGAGGACGACGCCUGCGGGAUCCGAUCACCCCAGCCGCCAUGGCUGCGGAGCCUUCCUCCUCCGGCCAGAGGCUUCCCAAGCCACAACACAAGAACAGCACCCACGAUGCCCACGAUUGGAGCAGCAGCAAGAAGAAGCCAUCCUCCUCCAGCACUCCCCCUACUCGGACGACCAGGAUCAGUGGGACCAUCUUCUCCGGAACCCAAACUCUGCUCCCUUCCAUGGCCAAGCUCGUUCACCUCCUCCAUCUCCGAGUCGCUGGAUUCUCUGGAUGAACCUUGCUCGGGGAGUUCUUGGUCCCUGAUCUCUGAUAACUCUAUCCGGCUGCUGCCCAGAUGCCUCUUCCCUCGCUCAUAUUCCGGGUCGUCUGUGGGGAGCUCGUACCGGCACAGAGGGCAGGAGUUCCGGGAAGACAGCCAUGGGAGGAUGCAGGCAGGGUGGUACAAGUGGAGGCACGGAAGCCGGCUCACUUGGGCACCUGUGAGCAGUGGGUCCUUACAGAUGGCACAGAGCGAGCUGCUGCCGUUCUUCUCCUGGUCCUCGGAGAAGAUCAUUCGAGGGAGAUUCUCCACAAAAGAUGAUGAAGCGGGGGGCGCCCCUCUUCUCGAGCUGUCAGUCUCAGCCAGAUGCUCGAGCAGCUCCUCGAGACCACUUCCAUUGAGAUAGUCCCCCGAUUGGAUGUAAAGGUCCGAUUCCUCCAAAUCGGAGAAGAUGCUCGGAUGCCGCAGGAGCCCAUCUUCCUGCGCCAUCCAGCGGACUCGAGCCCUGUCUGCAACUGGACUUUCAUCCCCAUCUCGAAUUUGAUGAGCAAGGUCCACUUCUUGGGUGACUUCUUCAUCGAAAUUGGCAUCCUCCCACUCUUCACCAUCUUCAUCUUGAUCAUCAGAAUUCCACGGAUCUAAUCCCGUGUGCAUCGGGUCAAUGUCGAUAUCGGUGACGAUCUGACUCUCUUCGUCGAGAUGGAUGAACACUUCCCGAUCCAGAAACCCAGGCCCGUCAAACGAUGCAUCAGAUUCCCCACCAUAGACACCGAAGCUGAAGUUGGAAUCGCUCUCGGCAAAUAAGGAAUCCAUCUGAUCGAACCCAUCACUCUCAUUAUCUGAAAGGGCCCCUCUCCAUCUCAUCGAUCUAUCCCGACUAGUAGACCUCACAGUCCGCGCUCUGCCACCCUCAAGAUGGGUUCCACGAUUCUGUCUUGCGAGGUUGAUGAGCUGAGAGAAUUCUUGGAGAAACAGGUCCUCGACUGACUCUGCACUCUGAUGCCUCGCUCUCACUCCCCUCCGCCUCCUCUGGUGACCGUCUCUUGGGGUUGAAAUCGUUCCUAGAUCAUCGAAAACAAUGGUUUUGCAGUCUCUGCACAUGCAGAUCGCAUCAAAGGCCUCAUUAGUUUCAACCUCUGGCUGAAAAUUUCUCCUGCAGACAAUGCAGUUGACAUUUGACUCGUAAACACUGUGAAGAUCAGUGAUAUCAUGGUCAUGGUGUUCGGCCUCCAUCCGGAACUAUUUACGCCUAUAAGUGAUGAUCAAACUUCUGGUUUGGUCAGCGUCUUGGCCUGCACAGGAAAAGCAGCCAGUUUUGAAACACAGGGCAAGAUAAAACUGAUGCAGCAACGAAGGGCACAUCGGGAACUCUAAAGAAAGGAGCCAGCAUAAUUUAUAUUUAUGAACUCAUUAAAGACCUUUAUGAUACACGAAGAAUAUUUAACCAAACACCACCAGGACACCGUCAAAGAUACCUAAUCCAUCACUAGACUUGAACCAAGCCAUAAAAUGUUUUUAAAAAAAUGAUCAAAUCAUGUACCCGUUUUAAUUAACCAUGUAGAGACAUAAAAUGUGUCAGGUGAAAAGAUGGAUCUUAAAUUUUUAUCAUUUUUACACGCUACUAUUCUGCAGCCUGAUAUUCUCAGCCUGAUCUCCAAGAAGGUGCUGAAUGAAUACAUGAUUGGAGUAUGAGGAUCAUGAUAGUUCUAGCAAACAGUCACAAAUCCUGACCUCUCAGCUGACAGACAGUUAUGAAAUUGCGUCCUUUUAUGUUUCAAAUAAAAAAUCUGGAGAGACGAUGGAACAGCAAGAAAGAAAAGAACUCGACGAAGCAUACGAGGAUUCACAUCUGCCGUCAUAAAUGACCGGAAAUGGGUUGUGCUGGGAACCGAUCUUAUAUCCAACAGUAAAAGUCUCUUCGCAAGGGCGGCUAGCGAUUAAAGAAGAGCCACAAGAAUUAAAAGUUGCACCCAAGGCCAAUAAGACGAAGCUAGAAGCGAAAGCUGGCGAGUAAAGCUAAACCAACCCUAAUUACACGAUCAGAUGGGGGCGAAAACAAGGAACAGGGAUCCGAUGUAUGAAUGGUUUCCACCCCCAAAAGAUUUCAGGCCCACAGAGAGGUCGCAUACCUUACUCCGGAUGACAGAACCCCCCAUAAGGCCGGGGGAAACGGCUUCAGAGAAAUCGGAUCCUGACGAACAGAAGCAGAGAGGGCGGCGUUGAAACGACCGGAAAAGCACACCGAUCGGAUCAGAUAGGCACGAACAUCCGGAAAAUUGCCAAGAAUUUGAGACUUUCAGGCCUCAGAGCACGGAUUCAAUGCCGGAGGAUCGAUCUCUCCGCCGCCCUCCUCCUCCCAGGUAGGAUCCUGAGUAGGCAGACCGGCGAGAUGCUGGAAAAUAGGAGGAAAUCAAAAUGAGCAGCCGUCAACACGUUAUAUGCCUCAUUUAUUGUCCCCCUCAUCACCGUCCAUCAGAUGAUCUUCGAUUGAUCUGACGGUUCCAACUAUCUGAAUAGUGGGAAAAUAAAAAGUAGUAGAAGUCAAUAUUAAUUAUUAAAUAAUCGAGCAUCCGCAUAUUUCGGCCCAGUUCCUCGUCCUAUAUUGUUAUUAUUAUUAUUAUUAUUAUUAUUAUUAUUAUUAUUAUUUCCCAAGGGACAUCUUCGUAACCUCAUAGAAAGAUUACCCUCUGGGUUCCUGACCGAGGUGCAGGCCAAUAAACUCCAUGAAUAAAAUUAAAAAUAUUUUAAAAUUUCAAUGAAUAAAUUAAAAAUAAUAUUUUUUGGGUCUGAUAAGCAGCUACAACAAGAGUUGACCGACCCAUCCGAGUUUAUCCGACGGUAACCCAACCACCUGACUUGACUGGGCUUAUAUCCCUGACUAAGUUAACCCACCCAUGAGAGAGAGAGAGAGAGAGAGAGAGAGAGACGNNNNNNNNNNNNNNNNNNNNGAGAGAGAGAGAGAGCAGAAUCCAAUCUCUGCCCUGAAGAAAAUAAUAGAGAUCCAGAAAUAGUUCCAACCGGAAUUGACUCAAAAGGGGCAGUUUUUUCUACAUAAAAUAGUUCCACGGAUUAUAAGACCAACUUUUCCAUUUAAACUCCGAAUAAUAUUGACAAGGAAAAAAGCAAGGACAAGAGAGCCAUGAGUCAACCCCGACAUUUGUUUCUGCUUGUAGAAAAAUCAGAUAUAAAAAUAAAAAAAAGGGAAACAGAGGAUCAUGGGCAGGAAUAUUCCACUUUACUGCUUUUGGGAAUAGAACAAGCAUUCACCCUUAAACUAGGCACGUAAGGCGCAUUAAGCUGUUCAUAUAAACCAAAGUAGGCUCCAAGGGCGUGUACCAGGGCAUGAUAUCUCAGCUAGCCUUGUUGCUAUUGGUGGCUUUGUUUUGGAGCCUGAGUUUGCGAGUGUGGCUAAAGUAUAUUCCAGGAGGGCCACAUCCCAAUCUUUGGCCCUGAGUGGCUGCACAAUCAUCGUAAAAUAAGAGUAAAUAUAUAAAUAUGAAAAAAAAGCCUCAAAUCAUACACAAAAUGUGAGAUUGAGAAAUCUAAUUUAGAUGAUUAAAAAUGUGACAUUGAGUAAUCUAAUUUAAAUGAUAAGAAAAAUGUGAGGUUGAACGGCUGCAUAAGCCUCCCUGCCAUUUGGGUCAAUCUCACCUUUGUAUAGCCGUUUAUGGUAAAAUCAGUGAUCUUGUUGGCAUCACACCAGGAAUUCCGAAUCGCUGCUAUACCAAACUUAUCUAUGAUCAUUCUUACCUGAAAAUCAUAAACAAAAUAUAUAAGUUCUCAUUGAUUCUUUAAUCUUUUACAUAUGAUGGUGUUCUAAGUAUUUAAGGAGUAGCAUGUUAUUCACUAAGACUGCUACAUGGGUCAGCUUCUUGAGCUAAAUCUUUCCCAGAACAAGCCAUCUGGGUGAAGAUUCCACAUUCAGAAGCAGCCAGAACAUUCCCAUUGAGAAAAUUCAACCUCCAUAUUCUAUUAUCCUCAUAGAUGACCACUUUCAGAUCUCCAGCAUGACAAAAAAAAAAAAAAAACUCUAAAGAGUAUCUACAGAUGGCAUGGAGGCUAAAAGGCUUUCAUCAUCAUGACGAAAAACAAGAUAAAUACUUUCCCAAGCAAAGAUAAUUCAUCCCUGUUAAAUUCAUGGUACAUCAAGAUGACUAGGAAUGUGUGUGCGCGUGUGUGUGCUUCAAAGAAGAUAUUAUUUACCAGAAUUAUGGACAAGGAUGACCGCAGAACUGCUGACAAGAUAUUUCUAUAUAUAGAUCCGAGCAUAUCUUUCAUUCCUUUAAUUACGUGCAUUGCUGUCUGUACAAUGAAACCAACUAACCUGCACAAGAGAUUCCAAAUCAUAAUAAACUGAUUCCUUUGAUUAUCAGCCGUGGAACCUCCGCCCUCACUCUGAGCUGCGUUUCCUUUCUGACUUCCUUUACUAGCAUCAUGCCCAAAAAAUGGAGCAACAAUCGCCGGUGCCACAAGGAUUAGAGCAGCAACCCGCUCAGGAGAUUCGAAGUAAGCAUCAACUGCCACAGGGCAACCGGCCGAGUGCCUGAGAAAUCCAAGUUUCCAUUAAUGGAGUCCAGCAUACUGAGCCAUCGGAUUAUCUAUCUAAUUAGAUGGGCUCUUCUCCUGAAACUGAGAGAAAUUCUGAAGGAGAAGGGCUGGACGAGAAGCAGCACAUACCCAACAAGAAUCGCCUUCUCAGGGGCGAGCCUGUCAAUGAAGAAGAGAGUUGCAAGCACAGAGAAGGCCGUGGAGUAUGGAUUCAAAGGCGGCACAUCGGCUUUCCCAGCGCUCCGCAGAGCAGGGCGAGGCCUUGAAGUCAACCCGAAAGCAGGUCUGUCGAAAGCUAGAACCGAGGAGCCAGUCAGGCUUGCCAAGGGCUUCAUCACUCCAGCCCAUGAGAACAAUGACGCUCCAAACCCAUGCAGCAAGAUCAUAGGGAGGCCGGAUUUAGGAAGAUUGGGGUCCGCUGAUCCAGAAAAUGUCUCACUAUUGAACGGCUGAUCCGUCGGCUCUUCUCCAUGGCGACACACCUUGUGGUGUAUCUGUACGCCAUUAAAUUCGCAGAAGAAGCUAUCAGGAUCGGAUAGCAUGGUUGGAUCUACCAGUUCAUCUUGAUCCACACCAGCUACAUUCCUCCCUUUCUUCUUCCUCCCAGCGCCCACGAGCCCCUCUGCGCGAUUCAACACAACGUGAUUUAAUCGGGAAAACAACGAUGCAGAUCCGAAGCUGCAGGGGAUCCGUGUGAGAUCUUCAGCAGGGAACAGUUGGAGAGCUCGAUGAAGAAAACCAACCUGAGAACUCCGCACCGGACCCGGCGACGGAGGCCGACCUCCGCAGGAAUUUCGUCGUCCUCUUGACGGAAAUGGUCGGAACCCUUACUGAAACAUCCGGCGGAUUCUGCCUGGGUAACAGUGGACCGAAGCAGGCGAAAUGAUGGAAUCCAAGAACCAGAGACAUCGCCCCUUUCAAGGUCCGGCGCGAGUUCCACCGGAGAUCGGAUAGCAUCUACACAACGAGGGGAAGAGAGGCUUCGAAUCCCGGCGGAUCAGCUGAGUGAGAGUGACUGAUUGCAGUUCACCAGGCGUUCCCAAAUCUGUCUAAAUCAGCCUGGCCGGCAGACCAACAAAAAAAAAAAAAACGGAUGAUCAAUUAAUAUCGGCGGAGUUUGUGGGGCAUCCGCCGGCAUUCCCGGAUCUGAAGGCCCAUCUUGGUCAACGCCGGCGACGGGUCGCUUCCUACUGUUUGUGCCUUCUGUGCCCACCAGACGAUCUCCGAAGAUGCUUGGAAGCCAGAAUCCAGCGAGGAGCGUGAGCACAUGAACGGAGAAGUUGAGGAAGGUGGUCAUGCUUUUGAGCUCCUCACCAGCUCUGGUCAUGGCGGCGGGGCUGCACAUCGCCCCACUGUUCUGUCACCUGGGCACUUCCCAGUUUUGGGCUACGUUGAUCAUCCUCAGCGACGUCCAACCAGCUUCUUCAACAUGGGUACACACGAAAAAGGAGCAAACUUUACGUAGGAAGACAACACACAAAAUAUGGCUCCGGCACUUUUUAUAGGGGCGCGUCUUACUUUGACAUAACGGCCCUUGUUCUAAUGCUCUGCUGCCCCCGGUAGGACCACUGGGUGGGUUCAUCAUAUACUUUGCUCCUCGUUGACUUUAUGAGGUUCUUGCAAUAACUAUUGGACCAUUGACGCUAUCAGCUCAUGCAUUUGGGGUGGGGGUUAUCAUAUCCUCUCAGUGUGCCAAUUGAUGCUCUUCAAAGUCAUUGACUCACAAUUUCAUCUUUAUCUGGGCACUCUUGAUAUAUGGUCAUUCUUGCAGUGUUGUCCCUUAUGAUUCUCUCUUUUUUGUUCCAAAAUCACUACCUCUAUACCAUUUGAGGAUGAUUCAUUUUUUAUCUACCUCGUAAACUUUUAAGAGUGAGACUUGUAACACUAGGUGGAUUAUUAAUCUUUUGAGAAGAUGGAGUUGACAAACCCAUCAAUUUAGUUGUAUCACAAUCUAGACCAUAUGCCAAAUUGUAGUUGUUGACAUAGCGGCUCCUACCAUUGUGAUGUUGCAUGCACUAGUACUAAUUGCCAUGCACUUGGGUUUCACAAGGUGGAACUCUUGUCUACCUUUCAAUUAAUUAUCAAGUAGGCGUUAUCACAAUGUAUAAUAUGGUCUACCUAUGAAUAAAACAUUAUUAUAGUGCAAGUAAAUAUUUGUCCUUGAUCCCAUGAAAAAAUCAGUCCCUAAGAUGACUGUGAAAUCAACUUAAGUAGCACCAUGAAAUCCACUGACCCCUCCUAAUCAUCUUUAUGGAGUCUCAUAGAAGAGUUCCACAAGCCACCCCAAUCAAGAUACAUACAUUUGAGGUAACAAUCUUGCAACAUGAAAAUAUCAAGCGUAAUGUAGUGGCUUCUUUUUCUGAGAGAAAAGUGUGGGGGCAUAUUAUCCACUAAGACAAAGGUGGGUAUAAUGUUGAUUGUGAACUCCAUAAAGAUGAGCCAACAUCUAUUUGAUGUUGCUGACUUUGUACAUUCUUGUAAGGUACCCAAUAGUUGAAGAGGGUUUAAAGUAGUAUUACUUUCCUCAUUUGCUACUCACUUUCCUCAAUAGUUGUCAUGACACCAAUUGCACAUUUGUCACCAUUCUAGUUCAUGUGUUGAACAUUUCUUGCCCAUUGGGGGCCUCCACAGAUGAAUCACUCAUUCUAGAGAGGGCACUCCCUUCUCUCCAUAAGUCACCUUCAUCUUGGGUCCACUAUGACCCCUCUCAAAAGUCUUUUUAUCUUGGUGAGGGCUUUAGAAAAUUGUAGAUAACAUUUUUUGCCUGCACUAUACAUGGUGAUUUAUGAAUUCUCCAUUUAUAUACUUGACACCAAAAUAUGUUAUUGGUGAUUAUCUAUGAACCUUUAUGAAUAAUUAGUCAUAGAGCCUUUAUGCAUUCGCAUUCAUUAUUUUUACAUGGCAUGGAAUUUAGUUAAUUAUAAUUGAAUGUUUAAAUAUGCCUAAUUAUCACGUCCUUAGUGAUACAAUUCUACCAACACCCAAAUUUGAAGAACAAUGAUAAAGUUGAAUAAUUAAGUUUUGCUUCACGUACUUCCUCCCUAUGUCCAUGUAGUGGAAUUGACAUAACAAAUCCUUUGCUAUAAUAAUGCAGUGCAAUUCUUGAACUCUUUUAUAAUACCAAACACCAGACAUAGGUGCUCCUUGAUGUAAUUCAACGUUUUAUCCUGGUUUUGAUACCAAUUGUCAUUCCAAAACAUUCCUUAGUUGUGUGCUAUGUAUUCAUGUGAGAUUAGUAUCCAUCAUCAUCCACAACAUCAUAACUAAGCCUUAUAUUCUAGAGAGGUUCACAAAAAGAAGACAGACACUCUUUAAAAAUGAGAUAUUAAAAUAAAUUGGGAGCUUGAAUUGCCUUCAGCUGGCUGAAAUUUAUCCCUUUUAUAGGGGCACAUUGAUCCCCAAUGCCUUGCUCUAGCACCAUGCUCUUCUUCUGUUCCAAGGUAUGUGGAGGCCCAGUUUUGCACCGGCCCAAGCCCACUUAAAAUCAAGUGGGCCCAUCGACUGGGCCCUCUAUUCUUCCCUGUGAUGCGUGUCUGAUCGUCGUUCCAGCGAACACCAAGCGUGGGGGUGAGCAGCCGUCGGUGACAAGUCAAGGGGAGUGCUGCUGCUGCUCCGAUCUCCUCUUUGCCCGCCGGCGAUGGAGGCCCUGGUUUGCAGGAAGCUAGGGGACCCAACAGGGCCGAUGACGGAGGCGUCGCCGAUCGUGGUCGCCAAGUCUCAUCCGACGCCGGAGAUCGGCUCCCCCACGGGUGUUAGAGUCCGGGUCUUUUCGACGAGCUUGAACUACGCCAACUACCUCCAGAUAUUGGGGAAGUACCAGGAGAAGCCGCCUCUACCCUUCAUUCCGGGCGCGGACUUCUCUGGCGUCGUCGAGUCCGUUGGGAGUGGGGUCGGCAAGUUCAAGGUCGGCGACAGAGUUUGCUCCAUUGCGGACCUCGGGUCCUACGCCGAGAUGAUAGUCGUGGACGAGAAGGAACUGUAAGUUCAUCAACUACGCUGUCCGAGGUAUCCGCAGCCUUUCAGAGGUUAAUUUGCCCCGGCCCCGGGGAGGGGUGUUGAUAAGAAGAAGCUUGAUAAUAGGUUGGUGGGUUCAAAAGAGCGCAUCUAUCUCAUCAUAAAAUAGCAUAAAAAAUGUAUUCUACAGGUGCGAACCUGGAGUUGUUCAGAUUACUUUAUCUUCGUAAGAUCGACUUGAAUCUAGGACCAAGUGUGGGUUAGAUAUUCAAAACUGCGGCCAAACAGAAAUAUGCUGAAAAGAAAUUUAUUAAAGUCAUUCAAGUCAAGCUUGGCAUUGUGCUCUUAGAGAUGGAUUCUGGCAUGAUCAGGAAUAAACAAGGGUUUUUUCAGAAAUUUCGUGGAUUUAUUUUUUUAUGCUACACAAGUGUUGUUUAUAUAUAUUUUUUGAUUCACAUGGAUUUAUAUAUCUUCAUUGAAAAAAGGUUUUUAGUUCCGGAUGGAUGUGAUCUGGUGGCUGCUGGAGCCUUGCCUGUUGCAUUCGGUACUUCACAUGUUGCACUUGUUCACAGAGCUCAGCUGAAACCAGGCCAGGUAUUUUUUUUUCUUUGCGUACUGAUUUAUCACGUUUAUCCUUUGAAUAUUGUGCUGGCUGACAGCAUCCCAUCCGAUGGGCCAUUUCUUUCAUAGAGUGCAAUGAAUAGAUGACCUCUCAUUCGGAUAUUCUGUCAUCAUAAGAAAGAGGGUGGGAAAAAAAAUGCUGAGAACUAUGAUUAACUAGCAGCAGUGUGAUAUUUACUUGUAUACCUCUAUGACUAAGGACGAAAUAUUGGGAGGUCGCCUUAAUGUUCCUAACAGUAAUACGCUAAUUUUAUUUUAUUUAUUUUAUUUUAUUAUUCUCGUUUUUUAUGUUACCAAUAAACCAACCUUGUAUACUUGGGUUAGACUUUUCCUGAAUUUUUUUUUAUUUCUUCUUUCAUCUCUCUUUUCCCAGGUAUAAUAUUAUAUUCCCCCUGUGCAAGGAAAAAAAAAGAAAAGAAAGAGCUUUUUCCCAUGAAAAUCUUAGUAAGAAGAUUAGGGGAGCUAUUUCCGGUUAUCAUGUAAGGAUUCUAACGGGUAUUUCUUUGAAGAAUCUGGUUUUCUUUGGAAAAAAAUCAUGAAUAAGGCGGAACAUUUUGCUAGCAUUAAAGUUCUUUAGAAUGUUGAGAGCUCUUUUUUUUCCCAUCCUAAUGAUGAAAGGAAUAGAGAUCAACGGAUUGAUGUUUCUGUGGAUGAAAUUUUUAUCCCAUGGUCCAGAAGAAUGUCAGACCAGAAGUUACGUGAAUGUCUUUCAGGUGGAUGGGGAUACACGUCCAAGAGGCUUCUGAAUAGUUAUAUUAUAAGAAUUUAGGGAUAUUCAUAGGCUUAUGAUUAAUUUACCGUUCAGCAACAGGAAGGCUGAUGAGAAUAGUGAGAACUACCAUUUUUAAACGGACCCAAGAUUUUUACAAUGUUUUUGACCCAUCAGUUUAUUUUUGUGAAAGCAAUGCAACAAUUGAUGUGCAUCUCUAAAAAAAAUGGCUCAUAGCCGAUACUAUGCAAGAAUCUGGGGUUUUGUUCUUAUCUGUGCUGGUUUCAUGGAGAUGCCCAGACAGUUCGUUUAAAGAGAUGAAAAGCUUCUUCUGUAGAUGCUUAAUUUUUCCAAGAAGGCAUGAGCAAUGGCUAAAGCAAUUUUAUUGCCCUCGGAAGCGCUUAUGAAGUGCCUGAUAUUGUGGAGAAAUUUCAUAUGCUCCCAUAUGUCAUUGAAACUCACGUUUUCUUUUGGCUCCCCUUCAAGUUUUUAAUUUUAUUUUUUAUGGUGAUGAACAGAGACAGAUAAAGAGAUUUCCUAAUAACUUUUUUUUUGUGUGGGAAAGAAGCCAGCCUUUUGUUGCAGAUUCCCCCCUCAUCAUCAAGAUGAAAACAUUCCAUUUCCUUGCAGGGCUGAUUGAACUUUGUCCAUAAGUUGCAUUGUUCUGAUCGAAACCUAGGGAAUUGGCCUAAAAGUCUGAGGAUAAGUCCAAUGAUGGUCCCCUACAACACCUGAAACGUUUUUUGGAAUUAGAGAUUCAA